rnacentral:piRNA from 1 species
AAAGCAACUUUCAUCCGAAGUCUGA